AUUGAACGCUGGCGGCAGGCCUAACACAUGCAAGUCGAGCGAGCGGCGGACGGGUGAGUAAUGUCUGGGAAACUGCCUGAUGGAGGGGGAUAACUAAUGGAAACGGUAGCUAAUACCGCAUACCAUCAGAUGUGCCCAGAUGGGAUUAGCUAGUAGGUGGGGUAACGGCUUACCUAGGCGACGAUCCCUAGCUGGUCUGGGAGGAUGACCAUCCACACUGGAACUUGGACACGGUCCAUACUCCUACGGGAGGCAGCAGUGGGGAAUAUUGCACAAUGGGCGCAAGCCUGCUACAGCCAUGCCGCGUGUGUGAAGAAGGCCUUCGGGUUGUAACGCACUUUCAGCGGGGAUGCGUUACCCGCAGAAGAAGCACCGGCUAACUCCGUGCCAGCAGCCGCGGUAAUUC
rnacentral:rRNA from 1 species